rnacentral:lncRNA from 1 species
CGGGGGAAAGAGGCAUGUCUAGCUUGUGGGACAGUCCUGCAAGGCCACUUUUCUGGUAGGGAGGUGACACCUUCAAAGGAAUCUCUCCUUUCUCCCAGCUCCAGCCAGUUUCAACAACAGUAUGGUUAUAUCACCUAUCAGUGAAUUAACUUCAGCCAAGACAGAAGUUUAUCUCAUAAAAACCAAGACUGGGCUGGGCACAGAGGCUCACACCUGUAAUCCCAGCACUUUGGGAGGCUGAGGUGAGUGUUUCACUUGAGGUCAUGAGUUCGAGACUAGCCUGCUCAAUGUGGUGAAACCCUGUCUCUACUAAAAAUAAAAAAAAAUUAGCUGAAUCUGGUGGCACGCACCUGUAAUCCCAGCUAUUCGGGAGGCUGAAGCAUGAGAAUCACUUGAACCCAGGAAGUGGAAGUUGCAGUGAGCUGAGAUCACGCCAUUGCAUUUCAUUCCAGCCUGGGCAACAGAGCAAGAGUCUGUCUCAAAAAAUAAAAAAGUAAAAACAAAACUGGGGGUUGUCAGUCUAGGGUGGCAUUAGGGACUUUCAUUUCCUUCCAGAGGACAUUCUGCUAUCCACAGGGUAGAAGCCUAAUCCUCAAGGUUCAAGGUGACAAGAAUAGCUCCAACCAUCACACACUUAUUCCAGGAAGCAGGUCAAAGGAUGGAACAACUAAGAAAUGACAUUAAAGAUAUGUGUCAGUCCAUCUGCGUUGCUAUAAAGGAAUACCUGAGGCUGGUUAUUUAUAGAAGAGAGGUUUAGUUGGCUCACAGUUCUGCAGGCUGUACAAGCAUGGCACCAGCAUCUGCUCCUGGGGAGGCCUCAGGAAGCUUCCAAUCAUGGCAGAAGGUGAAAAGGAAGCAGGUACAUCACAUGGCGAGACAAAGAGCAAGAGAGGGAGGAGGAUGUGCCAACCCCUUUAAACAACCAGAUCUCCCAUAAACUCAGAGCAAGAAUU